AAAGACUGAAUUUUUCGGUUUUCGUGUCCAACGUUUGACCGUCCGUCUUAUAUAAAAUUUUUUAUGAUUAGUAUUUUUAUUAUUGUUAGAUGAUAAAACAUGAAUAAUACUUUAUGCAUGACUUAUCUUUUUAAAUUUUUUCAUAAUUUUUUCAAAUAAGACGAACGGUCAAAUGUUAGACACGGAAACCCAUGAAUUGAGUUUCU
rfam:Oryza barthii chromosome 5, whole genome shotgun sequence.